rnacentral:rRNA from 6 species
GGUGGGGACUAUACUGAGGGUGUCCCACUCCUUUCCAUACCGAACAGGAUAGUGAAAUCCCUCAAGGCCGAUGAUAGUGAUUCUAUCGCGAAAGUAGGUAGUCCCCACCU